rnacentral:lncRNA from 10 species
UUUAUAGGAAAAAUUAAUAUAUAAAUACUUCAAAUGAUAUUUAACAAUAUAGUUCAGAGCUCCUUUGAAGAUUGCCUACUCUAUAGCUUACGUGCUACAAUGCUUGAUUUAGCUCUUGCUGUUGAAUUUUCUCUACUUUAAAAACAGCAUUAAGUGCAAAAAAUUCCACAAUUAUUCUAUUUUUUUCAUAUAGCGUUAUAACUGCCAUUCUAAAUGCAGUCUUCAUUGGGCUAUGUUGUACUGGAAAAUACAUAUUGUAAAAGGUGGGUGAGUUAGCAGUAUACUUUUGUUUCUGAGGAACUUGCUUGCAUUUUAAAUUUGGAAUCUUCUAACGACCUUAUACAUGGUUUACUCCAUUCUCUUUAAUAAAAUGUAUUUGGGAAAAUUUACUUUGAUUUUUAAAGGGACUCUUCUGAUUUAACCUGAUUGCUGUAUCAUGUAUAUACUCUGGUCCAUCUGAUUUUUUGUUUGUUUGUUUUUUUGGUAGAUAUGGGAUCUCACUAUGAUGUCCCAGACUGGUCUCAAAUUCCUGGCCUCAAGCAACCCUCCUGCCUUAGCCUCCCACAGUGCUGGGAUUAGAGGUGUGAACUACUGCACAUGAAAUUUCUUUGUAACUCAUCAUUUGAGAUAAAUAUGAUUGAUUAAAGAAAAGGACAUUUCACAACAGAGAGCAGUGAAUUGGUAAAGUGUGAUGAGUUUUUCUUGAGCAACCCCACGGCAAGGUCCAAGCCCUCCUGAAUCUCCGAAAUGAAGCCCAGAUGAUGCCCAGGAGCAUCAGCGUGGUCUUCUUGUCUCCUUGUUCCUCACUCAGCAGUGUAUCCAAAUGUUGCUGAGUCUCCAAUGCAUGGGCAGGUGCAUGAGUGUCCCUCUCCAUGGAGUUAUGGUGACUUCCACGCUGCGUGAAGAUCCUCCUGACAGCCUCUCAGGUAGACGCAGUACGCUGAUGGUGAGAAAACCACAGAGCCUUGUCUCCUGGAGCUUUUGGGUCUGUGGGGAAGACAAGCAACCAAACAAGCAAUGGCCAUCAAGCGAGGCAGAUGCUGUGACAGAGGAGGCCCACCUCACUAGAGGAGGGGACAGGGAAGGCUUCCCAGAGAAGGACAACUCGAGUCCAGAGCUUCGAAGCUGCAUCUCAGCUGGCUAGGUCUAUAGGAGGCAUGGCUAAUCCAGGCUGAAGGAAAAGGCAAGAGGCACAUUCUGCUUUGAAAAAAAAUUAAAGGAAGCGUGAAGGAAGAGAGAGGAAGGGAGGUAAUGAAGAGAAGGAGAAAGGGAGAAAAGAAGGAAGGAAGCUCAUUUUGGCUAAAACAUAGAGUUAGACAGUGG